rnacentral:rRNA from 1 species
UCGUGGAAUGAUUUGUCUGGUUAAUUCCGAUAACGAACGUGACUCAAUCAUAUUAAAUAGAUACCUAUCAGCAGUUGAGAUGCCGAAGCCGUAAUAUUGGUAGCAAUAUUGGUAUUAUGGUGGAGUCUCACCUGAUAGUUUGUCUUGUGCUCCUUGUGGGUGCUUGACUUGAAUCUGCUUAAUAGGACAAUUUGUGUUUAGCAAAAUGAGAUUGAGCAAUAACA